GCACACACAACCUCCCCACCCCUCACCCCCCAGUGCUGCUUAAUAAAUGGGAACUCAUGAUUUUUCUUCUUCUUAGGGCAGUAUGGAUGAGAGUGAGUUUAGCCUUUUUGUCAGCCUUCUCAAGUUAGAGAAGCAGGAGAGAAGAUUCACUUUUUCUUGCUGAGGCCCUGUGUGUGUGUGCGUGUGUGUGUGUGUGCGCGCGUGUGCUUGUGGGGUUGAAAGGUGGAGUGCAUGUCUCUGUGUGUCCCCCGGCAGAAGGAGCCUGGACUGAGCCAGAUGCCCCCUCAGCUUGAGGUCACCACUGUAGAGAUGUGUUUACCAAACUUAGCUUGGGACCACCCUCAGCUUGGAAAGCAGAGCAGGGAAGAAGGGAUAAAGGGGGAUUUCAUUAGCCUCCAACAACGAGGUGGGCCUUGGAGUAGGCAGGUGCAAGCUGUGAGCUGUCUGGGAGGCCUAAAUGCCCAGCAGCCAUGAUGCCCCUGCAAAGGCUCAAUCCUGAGUCUGAGAUGCCAGUUUAGGACAUCCAGCUUGUACUUCAGUCUCUCUCUGCCCAGAUCUUUCAUCUUCCUGGCUCUCUUCUCCUUUACCUCUUGUUUUUAUUUGCCACCACUCUACUAAAUUUGUAGUGGUUGAUUCUUUCCUGACCUGGACCCAGCUGGUAAUCUGGCAAAUGUGAAAGGACAUCGGACUCUGUGCCUGUUGGAAACACAACAACCUUUGUGUACCUGCUGUAUGCAUCCAUGGUCUCAUUUCAUCCUCAAAACAACCCUAGGAGCAAGCUUCUCUUAAUAGCCUCCUAUUCAAGUUGAAGAAACUCACAUUCUAAGAGAUCAAAUAAAUUACUCAUGGUCACUUGGCGAGGAAGUGGCCGAAGCAGGACUUUAACCAAAGACUGUCUGACUCCAAAGUCCAUGAUAUUUCCUCUCUGACUCCAGAUAAAGAGUAUUCUCAGAUCUGAGCUGUGCUGUCUACACUCAUGGACCCUGGGGAAGUGUGAGAGCUGUGCUGUUUUCUCAGGGAGGGCCCACAAGGCCACUGGAGUGGCCAGUGUGGAUUCCAGAAACAGUGGGCUGGUAGAGGGUCCUCUGAUGUCUUCCCCAGGGGACAGAAAUUAGGCACUGAGCUCAGAUGCUCAGAGUGGAGAUUGUUCCAUCCAAAUUUUAAGGGGGAGCCCAGAGGUUCCUGGUGAACAUAAGCGCAAUGAAACAAAAACGGGGCAGUCAGUAGGUUACUUUGAAGUGAUGCCAGUAGGUGCCCCCUGCUAUGGCAGUCGUUAGGCAUGUAGGUCUUGCAGUCUGGCAGACCUGGUUCAAGUGCCACUAUGGCACCUGCUUCUUUGGAUGACCUUUGGCAAGGUAUUUAUAUUCUCAAAGCCUCAGUUUCUUAUUUAUAAAGUGGAAAUGAUAAUAGUACUUUGUUGUGAGGGUCAAGUGAUAUUAUGCACAGAAAGCCUAAUACCUGGACUUCAGUCAAUGUUAAAAAAUCAUAUUAUCCAUAAUAAAACUGGGUUAAGAGUGAACACCUGUCAGAAAUGUACUAUAUCUUGAUCUGGGUGGUAGUUAUAUGAGUGUACGCAUUGUAAAAAAAUUAUUGAACUGUACACCUAAGAUCAUAUUACUUUUCACAGGUCAAAAUGUGUAGUUUUCACAUUUUACUGUAUUAUCUCAUACCUCAACAAGAAAACAAGAACAAGAAAAACAAAAGGAAGCUCUUAUGGGCCAGGGUUGGUAAACCUUUAAAAAAAAAAAAAGGUUUGUAGGUUGAAUUGUAGGGAAAAAAUGUAUUAUGGAGGAAUGUCAAGCUGUUAAUUAGUAAAAACAUAUGGUUCUCCCCUCCCCCAGGAUUUUGUAAUGCUUGUGAGUAAUUUGUCGGUUUUCUUAAAUGUGAAUUUCGUGUGACUUCUUUCGUUAUUCUAAGUAAAUAUUCACUUUUGUAGUUAAAAAAAUGUAAAUGCCCCCCUCUUUGGUAAGGCCUAGCAGUACAGGAGAGAAAACAGGAGUUGCCAGGUUGGGUAAGGACAGAGCCACGCCCAGCUUGCCCUCCUCCCUCAGCCCAGUGGAACCAUGGGCCGCCCGAGUGAGGAAUCCUGUGGUCUUGGAGGAAGCCACCAUGCAGGCCUGCCUGAUGGGAAGCCUGCUGCGAUCAGGCUUAGCCUGUUGCCCCUGCAGAGAGAGCUCCCACUGGAUCAUCUUCCCGAGAUAAAGAGGCUGAACAACACAGUGAUGUCACCCCGAUCAAUUCUCUUUCUUCCUAACAGUUCCCAGCAGUGACCUUGGAGGUGAGGCAUCCUUAGGGGGACCUUACUGAGUAAUAGGCAUGAAGGACACUGAGAAGGGGGGUACCCAGGCUGGGAGCCCCUGAUAAGCAGGGCUAGUAGAGGCCUCCCAUUACAUCCUAGGACUAUUACCUUGGGGAAAUGGAAUUGGACAAGCCUGCCUUUCCAUUAUGCAAAGAAAGGGCUUUUCAAGUAAAUUUCCAUUUAAGUAUGAGCUUAGAUCAGUGAAGAUGGGGCCAUAAUAGCUUAGAUGGUCAUCACAGCUAUUAAAAAUACAUUUUUUUCCCUGUGCUCAGGCUGCCUUGUCAUCUUCAUAUCGUUCAUCCCCAGAAAACUGUGACACAACCUUUCCCAAGCUUCUGGGAGGCAGGUUAAUAUCCAUCUGUAGUUUCAACUUUUUAAUUCUUCAAUAUACGGGGUGAAUGAAAUGUCCAUGCUUGACACAGCCCAUGGGUGUAUACAGAAUGUCAAUAACAGUUGGUUCGGGAAUGGAGAUCAGUGGUGGGUUGUAAAUAAAGCACUCUACUCAUUGGUCACUGCCCGCAGUGCUGGGCUUGCCUCUGUCUUCAGACCACCUUGUGUUGCCCUUUCCCUCCUUGGGUCCUCAGACAUACGUGGUUCUUUUUUUGUGUGUGAGGGUACAAGGCCCUCAAACUGUUGUCUGCUGCCUGGAUAUUCUUCCCCUACACUUUACCAGGCUGACUCCCACUUAUUCUCCGGGUCUCAACUUGAACCUAGUGUCUUCAAGGAAGCCUCCCGCGACCCACUCCCCAUCCCCACACCCAGGUUAGGGCCUUGUAUAGGUUGUCUAUUGCUGGGUAACAAACCACCUUCAACCACGUAUUUGCUCAUGAUUCUGCAAUUUUGGCUGGGCUCAGUCUUGCCUGGGGUGACCUCUGCAGCUGCUGCAGUCAGUAGUCAGGUUGACUGGGUGCUGGCUGGUUCUGGAUAGCCUCACUCGUAUGUCAGGAGCCUCAGCCAGAAUGGCAGGGGCAGCUGGGACAGUUGGAAUCUCUGGGACAGCUAAGAGGCUAACCUGGGGCUUCCUUACACCGUGGCUUCAGGGCAGCAAGAGGAUGGGAGUAGAAGCUACAAGGCCCCUUGAGGCCAAGGCUCAGAAGUUACAUAACAAUGUCACUUCCAUUGCAUUCUAUUAGUUAAAGAAAGUCACAGGGGUCGGCGGGGUGGCAAAGCGGUUAAGUUUGCAUGUUCCGCUUGGCAGCCCAGGGUUUGCCAGUUUGGAUCCCGGGUGCAGACAUGGCACCGUUUGGCAAAAGCCAUGCUGUGGCAGGAGUCCCACAUAUAAAGCAGAGGAAGAUGGGCACGGAUGUUAGCUCAGGGCCAGUCUUCCUCAGCAAAAAAGAGGAGGAUUGGCAGUAGUUAGCUCAGGGCUAAUCUUCCUCAAAAAAAAAAAAAAAAAAAAAAA
ensembl:lncRNA